UACGGAGGGUGCGAGCGUUGUCCGGAAUUACUGGGCGUAAAGCGCGUGUAGGCGGAUCAUUAAGUCAGCUGGUGAAAGCACCGGGCUAAACUCGGUGAGGUUCGGUGAGACUGGUGGUCUGGAGUAUGUCAGAGGGGUGCGGAAUUCCGGGUGUAGUGGUGAAAUGUGUAGAGAUCCGGAGGAACACCAGAGGCGAAGGCGGCAUCCUGGACUGGUCCUGACACUCAGGAGCGAAAGCGUGGGGAGCGAACAGG
rnacentral:rRNA from 1 species